rnacentral:rRNA from 1 species
UACGAAGGGGGCUAGCGUUGCUCGGAAUCACUGGGCGUAAAGCGCACGUAGGCGGCUUACUAAGUCAGGGGUGAAAUCCUGGAGCUCAACUCCAGAACUGCCUUUGAUACUGGUGAGCUUGAGUCCGGAAGAGGUGAGUGGAACUGCGAGUGUAGAGGUGAAAUUCGUAGAUAUUCGCAAGAACACCAGUGGCGAAGGCGGCUCACUGGUCCGGUACUGACGCUGAGGUGCGAAAGCGUGGGGAGCAAAC